GGAGGGGGCAAGCGUUGUCCGGACUUACUGGGCGUAAAGGGCGCGUAGGUGGCCUGGAACGUCGGUGCUGAAAGCGCCGGGCUUAACCCGGCGAGGCGUGCCGAUACGGCCAGGCUCGAGGCAGGGAGAGGGUAGCGGAAUUCCGGGUGUAGUGGUGAAAUGCGUAGAGAUCCGGAGGAACGCCGGUGGCGCAAGCGGCUACCUGGCCCUGACCUGACACUGAGGCGCGAAAGCGUGGGGAGCGAACCGGAUUAGAUACCCGGGUAGUCCACGCGGUAAACGAUGCCGGCUCGUUCUCUGGGCGCCUUUGGGUGCCUGGGGGGCUUAGCUCACGCGGUAAGCCGGCCGCCUGGGGAUUACGAGCGCAAGCUUAAA
rnacentral:rRNA from 1 species